rnacentral:lncRNA from 1 species
AAUUAUUAUACGCACCUCGUGUAUAUUAACACACUAUACACCACAACUCAUAUUAAAUGACUAAUUUCUAAUAUCGAAACUUAAUUAAAUAUAUCUAAAUUACAAAGUCUAAUAAUUUAAAUAUGUUUAUUGAAUUACAUUUUAAAAUCUCUAUUAAAUAUUUUAAGUAUGUGGUGUACGUUCUUAUAUACAUCCGGUAUAAAGAAUGCUUAAUAGAGUGCAUUCAUAAUUCCAAGAAGAAAAGGAGAAAUCUUUACUUGCACCUAAUGUAUACUAAUAUUUCAUACAUCAUAAAAGCAUAUUAGAUGAUUGAUACAAUAUCUGAUAAUUAAUAUUAAAAAUUUUUGUGAUGUGAUGGAACUGCCAAAUUAUAUAUCUUAUAGAUUUUAGAAUAUUAAAAAUAAAAAAAGGUUUGGUGUAUGUGAUAUUUUAAUAGAUCAGUGCGUGCAAUAUUGUUGAAGUAGAGGAGGGAGAGGAAACAGGACACGUGUUGCUCCGGGAGCUUCUGAUGUGACCCAACUAUCAAAUGAAUAUAUCUAUAGAUAAUUAUUAAAAUUUUAAGAUAAAAAAUUAUAACUAAAUAAAAAAAUUAUAAAAUAGUGUUAUGUACAU